CAAAAGCGCCACAGCCGCACAAAGGUACGGUCGACGAGGCGGGAGGAGUAUCGAAAACUCGGCGGAUGCCUCCCCGCAGCGUUCCCCUGUGAUAGAAUCCGGCAAAACCGCAGGUAACUGACGGCACAA
rnacentral:ncRNA from 1 species